GAGGGUAUAGCUCAGCAGCAGGGCUCGUGCCUAGCGUGCACGCAGUGCUGGGUUCAAUUCCCAGUACCUCCA
rnacentral:tRNA from 1 species